rnacentral:rRNA from 1 species
UAGGGAAUCUUCGGCAAUAGGGGGCAACCCUGACCGAGCAACGCCGCGUGAGUGAAGAAGGUUUUCGGAUCGUAAAGCUCUGUUGUAAGUCAAGAACGAGUGUGAGAGUGGAAAGUUCACACUGUGACGGUAGCUUACCAGAAAGGGACGGCUAACUACGUGCCAGCAGCCGCGGUAAUACGUAGGUCCCGAGCGUUGUCCGGAUUUAUUGGGCGUAAAGCGAGCGCAGGCGGUUUGAUAAGUCUGAAGUUAAAGGCUGUGGCUCAACCAUAGUUCGCUUUGGAAACUGUCAAACUUGAGUGCAGAAGGGGAGAGUGGAAUUCCAUGUGUAGCGGUGAAAUGCGUAGAUAUAUGGAGGAACACCGGUGGCGAAAGCGGCUCUCUGGUCUGUAACUGACGCUGAGGCUCGAAAGCGUGGGGAGCGAACAGGAUUAGAUACCCUGGUAGUCCACGCCGUAAACGAUGAGUGCUAGGUGUUGGAUCCUUUCCGGGAUUCAGUGCCGCAGCUAACGCAUUAAGCACUCCGCCUGGGGAGUACGACCGCAAGGUUG